UACAGAGGGGGCAAGCGUUGUUCGGAAUUACUGGGCGUAAAGCGCGCGUAGGCGGAUCGCUAAGUCAGGGGUGAAAUCCCAGGGCUCAACCCUGGAACUGCCUUUGAUACUGACGAUCUGGAGAUCGGGAGAGGUUGGUGGAAUUCCGAGUGUAGAGGUGAAAUUCGUAGAUAUUCGGAGGAACACCAGAAGCGAAGGCGGCCAACUGGCCCGAUACUGACGCUGAGGCGCGAAAGCGUGGGGAGCAAACAGG
rnacentral:rRNA from 1 species